rnacentral:rRNA from 1 species
ACCUCAAAUCAGGUAG